CGCGCGCGCUCGUUGCCGGGGCCGCGCCUCCCUCCCGCGCCCAGGGUGCUCCGGGGGCCGCGGGGUGCACGCCCCUCUCCAGAGGCGGGCGAGCGGGCGGGGACGCUUCCGAGCCAGCGUGUGACAUCCGUUUCCACAGCCGCCCCGACGUCCGGAGGUGGACCUGUUGCUCACUGCUCACAGCCGCAGGAUGAAGUUACCCACACACACUGCAAGGUGGUUUCUCAGACUCCUUCUGGGCUUCAAGCUCGCUCUUACUGUCGACACUUGGAAACCCAGUCCGUCCACUCUGUGGAGUAACGAGUAUAAAGUGGCCGGUCAGUGGAAGUGAAGAGGAGAAGGAGAGACUUGAGGAGGAAUGUCUUCCUUGUGACCCCGGAGGAGGCGGAAAGGAAACUAAAGAAACCGCCCUUUCAAGUCUUCAUAUUCAGAAAUCCCACUUCCGGGGCUUGCGCGCAAUGAAGCGGAAUUUCAAGAAACAGGGAGACAAAGAUUUGUCAAAGAGAUUCAGACAACUGUUGCGAUCGAAUGCGCUGCCUGCUGUCCUUUUCCCUAGAGAGAUCACCCACAUGGCCAUAGUGGGUGAUGGGGGAGGGGCGUCCUCCAGGACCCCAGAGCUUCCCUGGUGAGAGGCCAAGUUAAGGCCUUACCGAUCCUUUGCUGUCUCCGCUUGGCUACUCUUUGAGCAAAAGAAGCUGUUGUAAAACUGUUGGAGGGUACAGCCCUGUCCGUUUCAUGUCAAACACAGACCAACCCUUUGACCCAUCAGCCCCACAUGCUGUGUUAGCCAAGAGAAGUAAAACCCUCUGUCUACAAAGAGACUUGUGCAGAAAUGCUCAUUGCAACUGUUCGUGGGAGAGCAAAAACCUAGAGGGUGUCCCAGAUGUCCCUCAGUGGGAGAAUGAGUACGUUGGAAUAUUCAUCCAGUGCAACACUACUCAUGAAUUAAAAUAGAAUAUGAAUGAAUCUCAACUGUGUUGAAUCACACUGUGGAGUUAGAACCCAAGAGUGUCUUCCUGAUUUUAGCUAGUCCUGGCAUCAUGCAGACCCAUCAGAGUCCAUGUGUACUCUAACUCCAGCUUCCUAUUUUUAAAAAUGAGUUGGGCAGAUGAGUCUGAGGCUUUCGAAGUUUCUGAAAUUUACAGUAGGUAUUUUAUUGCAAUUCCUGAGCCAGUCAGCAUUGUAGAUUGUCGUUGGUCUAGUGGUUGCACUCUGCCUAUGAUGAUAACUAUCUGUGUUGGGUAGUUAAGGAAUUUUCUGUCUGCUCUCACCACCUCCCUCCACCUACUUAGAUCUUCUUGACAAAAAAAUAAAAAAGAAACUCCUCUAAGCUUGGCAUCACCACUUAACUCCACCCCAGCUCAGGGUUCACACCUGUAAUCCCAGCACUGAGGAGGAUGAGGCAGGAAAUUGCUACUGUUGAAGGCAUGCCUAGGCUACAGACACUCUUAAAAAUAGGUGUGUGAGGCACUGAAUUGCUGUGGUUUGAAUGAUAAAUGCCUCCCGUAGUUUCGAACAUUUGAAUACUUGGACCCCAGCUGGUGCUGUGUGGGUAGAUUUCAGACUUAGAAGCUUGAGGGAAGAGGUAUGGGGCAGGCUUUGAGAUUUCAGAACUUUGCAGAGUUCCGGUUUACACUCUCUGCUUCCAGCUUGUUGUUCAACAUAUAAGCCCCUGGCUUCCAGCUUUGGUGCCAUGCCUGCACCUUGCCAUCCAGGACUCUGACCCUCCUGAGACUGUAAGCCCAAAUAAACUCUUCUAGGGUGUGCAUCGUUCAUGGUGUUUUUAUCAAAGCCAUGGAGACGUAACUGACACAGUCACCGAAACUGUAGGAACUCACUACCCUAAAGAGUAGUAUAGAUAAAUUUUCAAGAAAUAAAACUAUGAGCAAGAGUUAUAAAUUAUACUUAGAGACCAUUUUGGCAGCUGAUUAUUAAAGAAAAACUGGUAAACCCAUAAUCCUGCAUAGACAGAGAAGAGACUGGCUCUUUCAGCUAUCUCUUGCUGGUCCUAUCAGCAUCUGGCCUAGCAUUGUCAGCUAAGUCACAUAUUCUCUUGGGCAUAAACAGUCACCAAACAUCAAUGUCAGGUAUGACCGCUGUGGUCAUGGUGACGAGAAGGUGAAGGAAAGAACCCUCCACAGUCAUGUCUGAAUAGGUCAAACACAGGAGCGUCCUCCAGACUUGUAGUGGGCAGGAGGGAUGAAUAGAAAGAAGCACCUUGUAUUCUGUAUUACAAGGGCACAUCUGUAACUAAUAUUGUAGAAAGGACUCUGCUCACACAUGCUUCUACUAGCUUUUUAGUCACUGCUAAUGACUUGUUCUGAGUUAAUCCCUGCCCCCAGCCCAGAGACCUGUAGAGGAAGGAGUACAAGGUUGAUGCCCAAGACACAUAAAAUUGAGUAUUUCAAAAAGUGUCUGGAGCCAGAUGCCCAUAAAAUGAGAGAAGAACACAAGGGGUGAUAAUGAGAGAUACCGACAUCACAAGGCUCAAAUCUGGCUGUCAAGAGGGACAAAACAAGAUUCCUAAAUGAAUGUCUGUGUCCCCAUCCUUCACCUGUGUAAUCUGCUGGCCAGAGAGAUGUGGCAGUAUUUCUUCCAAGGUAUGUGUCUGCUGCCCUCUCAGAUCGCUGACUCUGAGCCAAGUGCAACUUAACAUUUCAUUCCUAACUCUGCCCAUUGGCCUUUAUGGUGACAGGCAUAACACACUCUAAUAUUCGGGUUUUCUAAACCACAAAGCAGAACAUUUUAGCUAGUGUAAGUGACUCCUGUUUUCUGGCCAUUUACAAUGACAGUGUUGCCCUGUUCUCGUCUCUAGACAGCAUGUGUCCUGACCACUUACAGUGUUCUUGUCUUCUACAUAGAACAUGUCAAAAUGCCCAUUCAGAGACUCUUCUGCUUUCUGAUGUCCUCUAACUAGCUUUCAGAAUCACCUUCCAAGCCAGAGUCUGAAGCUUCCCCAAUGCUCUCCUAGUAAGAGUCACUGCAGUGUCUCAAGACAUUAAACCCAAGUGUAUUUGACCAGGUUUGAUUUUAGCUGGGAUAAUAACAUUCAUGUCACCAGUGUAUCUAAAACCACUCCCUCUCUGUCCUUAGCCUGCCUUGUUUUGUUUUUGUUUUUUCUUUUCAGACAGGGUUUCUCUGUUUAAUUGCCCUGGCUGUCCUGGAACUCACUCUGUAGACCAGGCUGACCUUGAACGCACAGAGAUUCACCUGCUUCUGUCUCCCGAGUGCUGGGAUUAAAAGUUUAUGCCACCAUUCUUGGCUCUUUUCCUUUUUUUUUUUUUUUUAUGAUUCCUUGUCACAUGUCUUCUGUCUGGAAGUUUGGUAGUUGGUUUUCUAAGUUUGGUAUUUGUUUAUUUGCUCUUGGCCAACUCUGUUCCACUGGAAUGUAAAGGACAUGCAGGAGGAAAAAAAAAGUUUCUUUUUUCAGUUUUCAGGAAGGUGAUUUGGUGGCUAUGUAGAACUAGAGAAUAUGAACAGGAAAUUAGUAGGAAAACUAGCAGAUUGUUCAGAGGAUGGGAGGAAAGGCCUUGGAUGAAUGAAAGCAUCCCAGGGAUAAGGAAGUGAGACGGUGCUGAGCACAUUCCUGAUGUAGGUUUUCAGGUAUUGCUGAACGAUUUAUUAAUCAAGUAGAAGGAAGACAUUGAUAGGCAGGAAGGAAACAAACACAAAAUUCACUACUUGCAUGUUCAUGAGUUUCUGUCAAUGCAGCUUAGUGUGCUGAAAUGCUUGCAAAUGUGAGCAGUAUCCCAACCUGGAAUAGACUUCUCUUAUGGCAUAGUAGGAUGUGCACCAAAGAAAACUUCAAAGUAAACCAAUUUGAAAUAAAAGCCUUCAGUUUUCCAGGGUAACACGCACCUGUAAUAGCAAGAUCAUGUCAAAAGACAAGCAAUAACAGCCUUUUGUUUCUUGUUUAAGAAUAUACUGACUUUUAAGUCCACGUUUGCCUGCAAAACUUACCCAUGUAUGGAAAGGCAUUUUAGUGCAUGCAGCUGGGUAAUGGUUGUGAUGCAUUGCUCAAACAUAGCAGUGAUCCAAGAGUACACUUCGUGUGCCAUCAAUCCUACCAGUUGUAGUUGAGGGAAGGGAGGGGCAUGGAGGGCCCUUGUCGACGGCCAAGGAUACUACCUUCUGCAUCUGGAAGUCAUGGAAUACACCAGGUAUCCAGAGAUGCUAGAACAAACAAAUUUUUUUAAAAAUUCUCCCUAGGAAGACAACCUAUUCUUGAAUUUGUUUCGGACACUAGCUGCCACCUAGACUGUUCUUCCUUCUCCUCUUUCUGGUCUCAGCCCAGAUGUCCCUUUCACAAGACCUCCUCUCUGUCACCCUGCUGAACUGCCCCGUAGAACUCCUUCACACCAUUACCUGCAGUCACGGUGCCUGUUGUAGGUAAUAAAUUAAACCCUACUUUGUUUACUCGAGAGUAAUCAGUGCCUGCGACUGUUAACCAGCUGGACGUUAAAGGCUGCGUAUCUUCCAUGAGUCUGAUCUAACUAGGUGGACCACAUAAAAGGAGGUCCAGAGUGAACCAUGGAGAGGUAAGGGAGAUUCAACCAAGCUGCAGAGACUUUCCUGUUGGCCUUGAGAAGAUUUUGUGGGGAGAAACUGUGGGUGGCCUCUGGGAGGAGUCCCUAGCUGACUGACACCUGGAGGUCAGCCUGAUGAAAAUCUAAGAAACAGAGAAUACAGCUGGACCCAAGCAGGACUUGUGACUUGCAGACCUACAAGCGGGACCCAGGACUUGCUUGAAUCGCCAUGUUUCCAGGACUUGUUUUUUGAAGUGAUAGGAAACAUGUCCAGAUAUUCCUGUGGAAUCCAAAACAUAGUUUUAAUAGGAGAAAGCAAAUAAUUACCCGUUGCAUACAAGGGAACAGCUAAGCAGGACUUACUGUGCAUGAUUUGUUGCCCUGCAAAUCUCACACAUGUUCCCGGGCUAAUUCAGGCAAAGGUGGAGGGUAUUGCACUUCGUUUGCUGCAGAUGCCUAUUUGUCUUCCUCUGAAAGGAAACUAAUACAACACAAAGAUCCACUGCUUCCGUUCCCUCACGUCGGUGUCCAUCUGAGUCUCACCAUUUCAUCUUCUCAUUUUCAAGUGGUGCAAAUUAACCUAUCUAGGGUUCCCUAACCAAUCUCAUUCAUUUUCUCCUGGAGUUUAAUAACAUUUGGGUUUCUCAUUACACAGCUUUUAAAUUACUAACAAUAGCCCAAGGCCAGAUAAUUAAAACUAUUUCAGUGACGCAAAAUUAGCAAGCUAUGCAUUGGGCAGGGGAGAGUUGCCCCCCCCCCAUCACUCAACGCCUGAGGUAGGUGGGAGAACUGGCCCUGAGGUCACCAGAGCAGGCCCUGCACCUCAGCUGGGCAACAGAGUAGAGCCAACCCUGUUGACAGAGGUGAGGGUGAGCCAGCUCCAAAGUUGUAAGUGAAGGCGAGCUGUCCCCACUAAUGUGUCUUGUGGCAGUGUUAGAGGGGGAAAAAGGCUCACCGAUUAGCCCUUGUCCCUUACCUACUGCAGCACUCAGGAAAGCUGGCCCAGUGGUCACAGGUGAGGGUGAGCCAGCCCUGAUGCUGUGAGCAAGGAGAGCUGUCCCCAUCUGACAUGUGGCUGCUUGGGUGGGAGAGAGAUGCCCUCACCCCAGCCCAUCAAUGCCUGAGACAGAUGGAGGAGCUGGCCCUGCGGUCAUAGGCGGGGGAGAACUGGCCCUGCUCCUCCUCAGCUGCAGCACUUGGGAAAGUGGCUCCUCUACCUCACCUGGGCCACACAGAAGGUGUGGAAGAGCCAAGGCUGAGAGCGGGAGAAAUGGCCCCAGCCCCUUGCUCGCUGCCGCAAGAGGUGAGCUAGCCAGGGCAACGCUGGAGAACUCAUCCUGGUGCAGAAAACAGGAGGACGGGCAGGCUGAUCAACCAGACAGCAGCCCAGGCCCAGAACCAGGAUUAUGACUUGGCCCACUCAAACAUCCUCCCCACCUGUGAUGUGCUGGAGCACCUGAAGGGACCUGACCUGCAGACCCAAAGCUGCAGGACCUCCACAGAGGCCUCAAACCAGACCAAUCACAUUUUGCAGUGAAUAAAUACUAAAGUUGUAUGGACAAAGGGGUUUACUGUGUGACUCUCUGUACCACUGCAGCUUCCAUGAUGAGAUUUAUAAUUUUUCCCCUUUUCUCUUAAAUUUUGUUUUAUUACAAGGGGGCAUAAGAGGGGGGUGGGGGCUGAUAUGAAGGGACAGGGAAAUGAAUGGGAUCAAGAUACAUGAUGUAAGACACAUAGAAUAAAUAAAAAGAAAGUAAAAAAAUGUUUUAACAGAAAAAAUAAAAAUAGCAAACUACUUUCCCAACACAUGUUGACAAUU
rnacentral:lncRNA from 1 species